GUUUUUUAGGAAAUUUUUUAAAAUUAUUAGGUAGAAUUUUAAUUUUGAAAAAUAACAUUAAAUUUAAGCAUUAAAAUUAUAUUUAGGACCAGGAUUAGAUACCCUGUUACUUAUAAUAAAAGAAUUUUGGAAUAGUAAUAAAUAUGAAAUUUAACGGAUUUGGCGGCAAGAUAGCCAUUUAGAGGAACCUGCCCUGUAAACGAUGAACCACGAAUUUCUUUACUUUUAUUAGAAUUCAGUUUGUAUACCGCUGUUGUCAGUUAGUUUCUUUAGAAAACUUUCAUUUAUGAAAAAAAUCACAGACUUCAAGUAAAGGUGCAGCUUAUAUAAAAGAUAGAGGUGGGUUACAUUUAUUAGAUUAAAACGGAUAAGAUAUUGAAAUUAUCUUUGAAGGUGGAUUUAAUUGUAAAGUUUAAUAAAACUUGAUGAGAGCUCUGUCUUGUG
rnacentral:rRNA from 1 species